CAGUGUGGGAAUUCACACAGGAAGGCAGAGCGGUACCUGGUUCAUCCUCGCCGAGGAACAUGUGGGGUGUGUGACACAUGCCGGCCACUCUGUGUGUCCAUGAACAUCAAUGAGCACAUGUGUCUGGGCUUACCAAUCAAUGCCAGUAGGAAGACCAAUCUGCACAGACAGACUCCGUGAAUAAUGAACAUGGACUCUUUGUGACAUAUGACCCCAAAGGCAGUGGAAACAUCCAUGGACAGACUUCAGUUACUGUAGAUUUCAUUAAUUUACUCAAUAAACCUUUCUCAAGCCCUGCCCAUGCAGCAGGGACAUUUGGAGUGGAAGGUAGUGGGGAGGAAAAGCCUCGUGUAGAGAAAGAGUG